rnacentral:rRNA from 1 species
UACAGAGGGUGCAAGCGUUGUUCGGAAUUAUUGGGCGUAAAGCGCGUGUAGGCGGCUUUGCAAGUCGGGUGUGAAAGCCCUCAGCUUAACUGAGGAAGUGCGCCCGAAACUGCAGAGCUUGAAUACCGGAGAGGAUGGCGGAAUUCCCCAAGUAGAGGUGAAAUUCGUAGAUAUGGGGAGGAACACCGGUGGCGAAGGCGGCCAUCUGGACGGCUAUUGACGCUGAGACGCGAAAGCGUGGGGAGCAAACGGG